GUAUCUAUAGCCUAGUGGUUUAUGGCGGUGAGCUCAUAACUCAUUAUUUUUGUUAGAAUGUCAGUAGUUCGAAUCUACUUAGAUACA
rfam:Theileria equi strain WA gcontig_1105316255047 apicoplast, whole genome shotgun sequence.